UGGAACGGGGUGUGAUUGGUAGCACGGGGAAUUUUGAGUUCUCAGGAGUAGGUUCGAUUCCUAUAGUUCUAG